UGGGGAAUAUUGCACAAUGGGGGAAACCCUGAUGCAGCGAUGCCGCGUGGAGGAAGAAGGUUUUCGGAUUGUAAACUCCUGUUGAAGAGGACGAUAAUGACGGUACUCUUUUAGAAAGCUCCGGCUAACUACGUGCCAGCAGCCGCGGUAAUACGUAGGGAGCGAGCGUUGUCCGGAAUUACUGGGUGUAAAGGGAGCGUAGGCGGGAUGGCAAGUCAGAUGUGAAAUCUAUGGGCUCAACCCAUAAACUGCUUUCAAAACUGUUUUUCUUGAGUAGUGCAGAGGUAGGCGGAAUUCCCGGUGUAGCGGUGGAAUGCGUAGAUAUCGGGAGGAACACCAGUGGCGAAGGCGGCCUACUGGGCACCAACUGACGCUGAGGCUCGAAAGUGUGGGUAGCAAACAGGAUUAGAUACCCUGGUAGUCCACACCGUAAACGAUGAUUACUAGGUGUUGGAGGAUUGACCCCUUCAGUGCCGCAGUUAACACAAUAAGCAUUCCACCUGGGGAGUACGGCCGCAAGGUUGAAACUCAAAGGAAUUGACGGGAGCCCGCACAAGCAGUGGAGUAUGCGGUUUAAUUCGACGCAACGCGAAGAACCUUACCGGAGCUUGACAUCCUGCUGACAAUUCGAGUAAUGUUGGAUAUUCCUUCGGGACAGCAGAGACAGGUGGUGCAUGGUUGUCGUCAGCUCGUGUCGUGAGAUGUUGGGUUAAGUCCCGCAACGAGCGCAACCCUUACGGUCAGUUGCUACGAAAGAGCACUCUGGCCGGACUGCCGUUGACAAAACGGAGGAAGGUGGGGACGACGUCAAAUCAUCAUGCCCCUUACGCCCCGGGCCACACGCGUACUACAAUGGCGCAAACAAAGGGAAGCGAAGCCGCGAGGCGGAGCAAAUCCCAUAAAAGGCGUCCCAGUUCGGAUUGCAGGCUGAAACCCGCCUGUAUGAAGUUGGAAUUGCUAGUAAUCGUAGAUCAGCAUGCUGCGGUGAAUACGUUCCC
rnacentral:rRNA from 1 species